UGCAAGUCGACGGAAAGGACCCUGCGUUUUGUGGGUGGCGUCGAGUGGCGAACGGGUGAGUAACACGUGAGUAACCUGCCCUUGACUUUGGGAGUAACUUCUAGGGAAACUAGGGGCGUAAUACCGGAUAGGUAGCUCCUGCUGCAUGUGGGGGUUGGAAAGUUUCGGCGGUUGGGGAUGGACUCGCGGCUUAUCAGCUUGUUGGUGGGGUAGUGGCUUACCAAGGCCUUGACGGGUAGCCGGCCUGAGAGGGUGACCGGCCACAUUGAGACUGAGAUACGGCCCAGACUCCUACGGGAGGCAGCAGUGGGGAAUAUUGCACAAUGGGCGGAAGCCUGAUGCAGCAACGCCGCGUGCGGGAUGACGGCCUUCGGGUUGUAAACCGCUUUCGCCUGUGACGAAGCGUGAGUGACGGUAAUGGGUAAAGAAGCACCGGCUAACUACGUG
rnacentral:rRNA from 1 species